AGCAGCGUCGCUCAGUGGAAAGAGCACGGGCUUGGGAGUCAGAGGUCAUGGGUUCGAAUCCCAGCUCUGCCA
rfam:Ornithorhynchus anatinus chromosome 1, whole genome shotgun sequence.